CGUGGCAUUCAUUUCCUCUAAAACAAACACACACCCAGCACUUUGCAUCCGUGUUCAGUAGCAGUGGGUUGAUUUGCGUGAGAGAUGUUGGAUCAAGAGUGAUGUUGGGUCAUCACUGGCACAGAGCCAGGGCCGUCGGUCAGGAAGGGGCAUUCGGACGGCUGCAAUAUAGGCUUGGGCGUGGACUUACUAACCCCGCACUCCCCUUGCCUCCCGACAGUGACCGAGAGCCGGGGCAUCCUUGAGAGCAUCCAGAGGUUCUCCCUGCUGCCCACCUACCUGCCGGUCACCUACCACAUCAACAACGCCGACGUGUCCUUCUUCCUGAAGGAGGCCAACCAGGACAUCAUGCGCAACUCCAGCCUGCAGUCCAGGGUCGAGUCCUUCCUCAUCUACAAAUCCAAGCAGCUGCCGGCGCUCAACGCCAGCUAUGGGCCCUUCUCCAUCGAGCAAGUGGUGCCCCAGGACCUGCUGCUGCCCGCCAACCCCUUCGGCUUCACCAACACGUUUUCCCUGAACUGGAAGCUGAAGGCCUCCAUCCUGCGGGAGAAGAUCUACCCCAGCCGUCCCAAGGUGCAGGUCCUCUUCCACCUGGUAGGCCGGGACUGGGACGACGCGCGGCCUGCGGAGAGGCUGCCCUGCCUGCGCGUCUUCGCCUUCCGGGAGACCCGGGAGGUGCGGGGCAGCUGCCGGCUCGCCGGGGACCUGGGCCUGUGCGUGGCGGAGCUGGAGGUCCCGGCCGCGUGGUUCAGUGCCCCGACGGUGGUUGCCGGGAGGAGGAAGGCCGCGGAGCAGCCCGAGGGCAGCCCGGUGGAGCUGUACUACUCCAUGCAGCCGGGGGACGCGCGUUGGGACUGCGCCCAGGAGGACCGGUGGAGGACCGACGGCAUUCGGACAGGUCACAAUGACAUCGAUGAGUCUGGGCCGCCCUUGCACAGAAUCGGGAGUGUCUUCCUCUACCAGACCCACGGCAGCCCCACCCUGAAGGAGCUGCGACUGGACAGCAAUGUCGCCGUGCACUACGUCCCCAAGACGGCUCGACAGGGCGACGUGCUCACCUUCCCCAUCUUGGUCUCGAGAAACUGUACAGAGGACCGUUUUACGCUGAGGGCCAAGGUGAAGAAAGGCGUGAGCAUUGCCGGGGUGAGGGCCAGCAGCCCCUCCAUCUGGGACGUCAAGGAGAGCUCGGAGUCCGCCGGGAAGUACGCACCCGCUGUCAUAGUGUGUCACAAGAAAUCUGCUGCCUCGGCAAACGGUGCAGACAGCAGCUCCGAGGAAGUCAUGCAGGUCGAUGUGGAGGUCGAAGAUCCCAGCGACCCUCCAGCCACACAGCUCGUCACGUGGCAGGUGGAGUAUCCCGGAGACAUCACCUCUGACCUGGGCGUGUCCGAGAUCUACGUCCGUCAGAAGGACUUGGUUGGAGUGAUCCCACUGGCCAUGCAAGAAAAGACGGGUGGGCUCAAGCGUGUCCCCCUCCAGCUUUGCACGUGGAAGCCCUCACCUCCUGUGUUCCUGGGUCCGAGUGGAUUUGGAGACACGGCCUUUCACAAGGCACAUGAAGCUAACAAGGCUGCUAGUGAGGACUGUAACCGAAUCCGACUGGUGCCCUCAUAAGAAAAGGACACAGACACACAGGAAUGACCAAGAGCAGACACAAGGAGAGGAUGCCCAUGUGCAGGUCAGGAAGAGAGACUUCUGAAGGAACCAGCCCUGCAGACACCCGGAUCUUGGACCUCAGCCUCCACAACUGGGGAAAUGAGUCUCUGUGUUUCAGGUCACUCAGGUGGUGCUGUUUGUUAUGGCAGCUCCAGCUGACUCAUACAGAUCCCUUGAAAAAAAAACAACUUAAAAAAAAAAUUAAAAAAACAACUUAAGCCUGCCUGAUGUGAUGGUACACAUCUGCAUUCCUAGCACUGUGGGAGGCUGGGGCAGGAGCAUGGCAAAUUCAAGCUCAACUUGGGCUACUUAGUGACUUAGGAAGACCAUCUCAAAAUAAAAACUAAAGGAGGUGGGGGUGCAAAGGCCCUGUGUUCACCUCCCAGUACUGCAACAACAACAACAGUAGCCUCUCUCCCAGCUAAGCUGUGUUCCUAUUCACAGCGCUAAAUAAAUUCUCUAGACUUUUGCUCCUUGCUCUUGUUCUCUGCAGCCCAGGCUGCUGUCCUCCCAACCCUUUGCUGAAGCAUCCCUUCUCAGGGCUGCUGAAGACGCCCUAGUUCCCCUCUUGCUCGGUGUAUACCUGCAGCACAUCCCUCGAGAAUCUUCCGAAUACUGUGCUCUCCAGGUCCUGCAUCACCGCACGCCCACUCCUCUCCUCCCAGCUCAAGGCCACUCCUGCCUGGUCCCCUUGGCUGUCCCUGCUCUGCCACAUGCCUCUGGGAUAGGUUCUCUCUCUUCCCCUGUGAGUUUUACCUCCCGAAUGCUCUCCCAUCCUCCCUUCCCCCCGCCUCAGACUCAGAUACCCAUCUGCCUCCUCGCCUGUCUGACGUGCCUCAGCACAACACAGUGAAAACCUGCAGGCCGCGGCCUUCCCUGAAGUGCCCUCCCCCUCCCAUCCCCACACCCCCAAGUAAAUUUCACCAGCAACGCUUCCAUUGCUCAAGGCCAAACACAAGAAGUCAUCUUGAACUCUUCUGACUCUCUGUCCCCAUGUUUAAGUCAUGACAAAUCACACUAGCGUCAUCCCUAAAAUAAGUCCCAAACCUGUCCACUUUCCCCCUUCAUCACUGCCACUGCAGUCCAAGUCACCAACAUUUCACACCCGG
rnacentral:lncRNA from 1 species